AUGACAACCAGCUGUUCAUAAUUAGUUCAUCAAGAAGGGCAGGGUAGUGGCUGCAUGUCAAGAGGUUGUAAGGUGCUUGAAUCAUUUGGUCAUCAGGUUGUUUGGGUCGAUACCACUGAAACAAUGCAUCGACCUCUGCCCAUAUAUCUAAGUGUCCUUUUGAUUGGCACUGUCUUUGCUGGAGGUUCCUGGUGUGACAACAUGGCAAGAGCCUGAGCAGCUGCCCUGGGUUUGGACCUCCUUAGGACCCAGUUUGUCCCUUACAAUCUUCGACCAACACGCCAUAGGCCAUCCAACUGACUGGGCCUAUGGACAAGUCUUUGCCAGAGGCUUUCAACCCAAACCGUCUACAUUAAACUAUCACGGUUCUGAUCCCAGUUUGGCUGACUCCUCUGUCAGGCAUUCUGUCUACACUCCCAAGGGAGAACUUGUUAGCAGCCACAAGCCCAACUUUGAGCAGGUCGAGAAUUCUGCGCCUCGAUCAAAUGUAAUGGUAGCCCCUGGUCAGUUUGAGUACUCGGAGAAAGCAGCCAUUCGAGGUUACUAUAAUCCUGUUGUAGUUCAGCCUGUCCCCAGCAGACGUAGAACAGCCCAGAGUGUGGUUUCGCGACCCCAGAGCA